GUGCUCGGUUUGGCAGCACAUACACUAUAGCUGGAACGAUACAGAGAAGAUUAGCAUGGCCCCCGUUUGAGGAUGACAUGAAAACUUGUGAAGCAUUCCACAUUAAA